GAUGAACGCUGGCGGCGUGCCUAAUACAUGCAAGUCGAGCGAACGGACGAGAAGCUUGCUUUUCUGAUGUUAGCGGCGGACGGAUGAGUAACACGUGGAUAACCUACCUAUAAGACUGGGAUAACUUCGGGAAACCGGAGCUAAUACCGGAUAAUAUUUUGAACCGCAUGGUUCAAAAGUGAAAGACGGUCUUGCUGUCACUUAUAGAUGGAUCCGCGCUGCAUUAGCUAGUUGGUAAGGUAACGGCUUACCAAGGCAACGAUGCAUAGCCGACCUGAGAGGGUGAUCGGCCACACUGGAACUGAGACACGGUCCAGACUCCUACGGGAGGCAGCAGUAGGGAAUCUUCCGCAAUGGGCGAAAGCCUGACGGAGCAACGCCGCGUGAGUGAUGAAGGUCUUCGGAUCGUAAAACUCUGUUAUUAGGGAAGAACAUAUGUGUAAGUAACUGAGCACAUCUUGACGGUACCUAAUCAGAAAGCCACGGCUAACUACGUG
rnacentral:rRNA from 1 species